CUCAGGACAGGAGAUCAGGGUAGUACUACACAGCCUUUCUCAGGACAGUAUAUCAGGGUAGUACUACACAGCCUGUCUCAGGACAGGAUAUCAGGGUAGUACUACACAGCCUGUCUCAGGACAGUAUAUCAGGGUAGUACUACACUGCCUGUCUCAGGACAGUAUAUCAGGGUAGUACUACACAGCCUGUCUCAGGACAGUACAUCAGGGUAGUACUACACAGCCUGUCUCAGGACAGGACAGUAUAUCAGGGUAGUACUACACAGCCUGUCUCAGGACAGUGUAUCAGGGUAGUACUACACAGCCUGUCUCAGGACAGUAUAUCAGGGUAGUACUACACAGCCUGUCUCAGGACAGUAUAUCAGGGUAGUACUACACAGCCUGUCUCAGGACAGUACAUCAGGGUAGUACUACACAGCCUGUCUCAGGACAGGACAGUAUAUCAGGGUAGUACUACACAGCCUGUCUCAGGACAGUAUAUCAGGGUGGUACUACACAGCCUGUCUCAGGACAGUACAUCAGGGUAGUACUACACAGCCUGUCUCAGGACAGUAUAUCAGGGUAGUACUACACAGCCUGUCUCAGGACAGUACAUCAGGGUAGUACUACACAGCCUGUCUCAGGACAGUAUAUCAGGGUAGUACUACACAGCCUGUCUCAGGACAGUAUAUCAGGGUAGUACUACACAGCCUGUCUCAGGACAGUAUAUCAGGGUAGUGACUCUCUGUCCAUCCCAUCUAUCUCCUUAUUAAACUUCCUUCUUAUGAUUGACAUGUGCCAUAUAUAUUUCAACUGUUCUGUUCUGUUUCACCUGCAUUAUGAACCAUUGUAAUCUCAUAGUUUCUACAGAUUGGAAGUUAAAGAUGAAUAUUUAUAUAGUCUUUCUCAGCUACUGUCCCAGCCAUCCCAUCUAUCAGUGUUGAUCAACUCCUCUCCUCCCUCUCUCUACCUCUUCUCCCUCUCUCUCUCUCUCCCUAUCUCUCUCUCUCUUUCCCUCUCUCUCUCUCUCCCUUUCUCUCCCUCCCUCUCUCUCUUCCUCUCUCUCUCUCCCCCUUUCUCUCUCUCCCUCUCUCUCCCUCUGUCUCUCUCUCUGUCUCUCUCUCUCCCUCUGUCUCUCUCUCUCUCCCCCUCUCUCUCUCUCCCCCCACAGCUACAGAGAGCUCAGGUUCAUCGUCCCACUGUCUGUCCGGCAGCGGUUCCAGUGGUUCAGACAGUGGCUGUGUGUCCAGCCACCUCCCUGAGGAUCCCUCGUUCCCCUGCCGUCCCCCGUCCGACGCUGUAACGUCCCCCAGCCUCCCCAAAGACAAGCCGCGUUACAACAGCCAGUACAUUUCAGCUGUCUGAUAUCCAGGAAGACACUAUUUCCACGCCAAGGAAGACAGACGAGACAAAUAUGUAUUUAUUUUCUCGCGUUGCCAGCAGCAACUCUCAUCUCACAUGGACACUGAAAAGACCUGGGACUGUUUUUAAAAAGGAAAAUACACGUUUGAGCUUUUAUAUUGUUUAAAAAAAAAGAAAGUUAAUUUAAAUAUUGUUAUAUUUUUUUGUUCCAAAAGUACUGGUGUGUGCAGUAGGUUUUUUUCUGUACGAUAUUGGUUAUUUUGUAAAUAAUUAUUUUAAUAGUUUCCUGUGAAUUUAUGAACGGUUGGUUUCUUCCUCGUCUUGUUGACCACUUUUACUGCAGAUGGGAUGAAAGGCUAGUCCUGAUUUACCUGUUAUACCCUGGGAUGAAAGGCUAGUCCUGAAUCACCUGUUAUACCCUGGGAUGAAAGGCUAGUCCUGAUUCACCUGUUAUACCCUGGGAUGAAAGGCUAGUCCUGAUUCACCUGUUAUACCCUGGGAUGAAAGGCUAGUUCUGAUUCACCUGUUGAUUGGUGUUAUACCCUGGGAUGAAAGGCUAGUCCUGAUUCACCUGUUAUACCCUGGGAUGAAAGGCUAGUUCUGAUUCACCUGUUGAUUGAUGAUAUACCCUGGGAUGAAAGGCUAGUUCUGAUUCACCUGUUGAUUGAUGAUAUACCCUGGGAUGAAAGGCUAGUUCUGAUUCACCUGUUGAUUGAUGAUAUACCCUGGGAUGAAAGGCUAGUUCUGAAUCACCUGUUGAUUGAUGAUAUACCCUGGGAUGAAAGGCUAGUUCUGAAUCACCUGUUGAUUGAUGAUAUACCCUGGGAUGAAAGGCUAGUCCUGAUUCACCUGUUAUACCCUGGGAUGAAAGGCUAGUCCUGAAUCACCUGUUAUACCCUGGGAUGAAAGGCUAGUCCUGAAUCACCUGUUAUACCCUGGGAUGAAAGGCUAGUCCUGAUUCACCUGUUAUACCCUGGGAUGAAAGGCUAGUCCUGAUUCACCUGUUAUACCCUGGGAUGAAAGGCUAGUCCUGAAUCACCUGUUAUACCCUGGGAUGAAAGGCUAGUCCUGAUUCACCUGUUGAUUGAUGUUAUACCCUGGGAUGAAAGGCUAGUUCUGAAUCACCUGUUGAUUGAUGAUAUACCCUGGGAUGAAAGGCUAGUCCUGAUUCACCUGUUAUACCCUGGGAUGAAAGGCUAGUCCUGAUUCACCUGUUUGUAUACCCUGGGAUGAAAGGCUAGUCCUGAUUCACCUGUUAUACCCUGGGAUGAAAGGCUAGUCCUGAUUCACCUGUUAUACCCUGGGAUGAAAGGCUAGUCCUGAUUCACCUGUUAUACCCUGGGAUGAAAGGCUAGUUCUGAUUCACCUGUUAUACCCUGGGAUGAAAGGCUAGUCCUGAUUCACCUGUUAUACCCUGGGAUGAAAGGCUAGUUCUGAAUCACCUGUUAUACCCUGGGAUGAAAGGCUAGUUCUGAAUCACCUGUUAUACCCUGGGAUGAAAGGCUAGUCCUGAUUCACCUGUUAUACCCUGGGAUGAAAGGCUAGUCCUGAUUCACCUGUUAUACCCUGGGAUGAAAGGCUAGUCCUGAUUCACCUUUGUUAUACCCUGGGAUGAAAGGCUAGUUCUGAAUCACCUGUUAUACCGUGGGAUGAAAGGCUAGUCCUGAUUCACCUGUUAUACCCUGGGAUGAAAGGCUAGUCCUGAUUCACCUGUUGAUUGGUGUUAUACCCUGGGAUGAAAGGCUAGUCCUGAAUCACCUGUUAUACCCUGGGAUGAAAGGCUAGUCCUGAUUCACCUGUUGAUUGGUGUUAUACCCUGGGAUGAAAGGCUAGUUCUGAUUCACCUGUUAUACCCUGGGAUGAAAGGCUAGUCCUGAUUCACCUGUUGAUUGAUGUUAUACCCUGGGAUGAAAGGCUAGUUCUGAAUCACCUGUUGAUUGAUGAUAUACCCUGGGAUGAAAGGCUAGUCCUGAUUCACCUGUUAUACCCUGGGAUGAAAGGCUAGUCCUGAUUCACCUGUUAUACCCUGGGAUGAAAGGCUAGUCCUGAUUCACCUGUUAUACCCUGGGGUGAAAGGCUAGUCCUGAAUCACCUGUUAUACCCUGGGAUGAAAGGCUAGUCCUGAUUCACCUGUUGAUUGGUGUUAUACCCUGGGAUGAAAGGCUAGUCCUGAAUCACCUGUUAUACCCUGGGAUGAAAGGCUAGUUCUGAAUCACCUGUUAUACCCUGGGAUGAAAGGCUAGUCCUGAUUCACCUGUUAUACCCUGGGAUGAAAGGCUAGUCCUGAUUCACCUGUUAUACCCUGGGAUGAAAGGCUAGUCCUGAUUCACCUGUUGAUUGGUGUUAUACCCUGGGAUGAAAGGCUAGUCCUGAAUCACCUGUUAUACCCUGGGAUGAAAGGCUAGUCCUGAUUCACCUGUUAUACCCUGGGAUGAAAGGCUAGUCCUGAUUCACCUGUUAGGUGUUAUACCCUGGGAUGAAAGGCUAGUCCUGAAUCACCUGUUAUACCCUGGGAUGAAAGGCUAGUCCUGAAUCACCUGUUAUACCCUGGGAUGAAAGGCUAGUCCUGAUUCACCUGUUAUACCCUGGGAUGAAAGGCUAGUUCUGAAUCACCUGUUAUACCCUGGGAUGAAAGGCUAGUUCUGAUUCACCUGUUAUACCCUGGGAUGAAAGGCUAGUUCUGAAUCACCUGUUAUACCGUGGGAUGAAAGGCUAGUCCUGAUUCACCUGUUAUACCCUGGGAUGAAAGGCUAGUCCUGAAUCACCUGUUAUACCCUGGGAUGAAAGGCUAGUUCUGAAUCACCUGUUAUACCCUGGGAUGAAAGGCUAGUCCUGAUUCACCUGUUGAUUGGUGUUAUACCCUGGGAUGAAAGGCUAGUCCUGAAUCACCUGUUAUACCCUGGGAUGAAAGGCUAGUUCUGAAUCACCUGUUAUACCCUGGGAUGAAAGGCUAGUCCUGAUUCAGGCAGGAUACUAUUCAAAGGCAACAUGUUUAUUUUUCAAAAGGCAGCAUUCUGGUACGAGUCUUUCACAGUGUCUUCACAUAUUGUCUGUUCUGUGGUUAGAUUCCUCCAUCUUGUUUUACUGUGGUGGUGGUGGUGUCACUUCCUUAGUACCUCCUGUAGCCGGUCAGGUCUGACUGAGGGUGUAUCCCAAAUAGCAACCUAUUCAUUAUGUAGAUGACCAGAGACCUAUGGCCAAAAGCUCUGGUCAAAACUAGUGCACUAUACAGGGAAUAAGGUGGUAUUUGUGAUUCGUCCCCUGACUCCGGGUCAGUUUCCUGACAGGUCAGAGCCAGUGGGUCAGUGGAUCAGUCCUCUCAGCUGUUGUUCUGUAGAACAGGACGAGGACAACGCUACACACUGAGAGGCUACUUUCACCUACAGAGUUUCAAAUGCAAAAAAAAAAAAAAACACUUUUCUUGUUUAUAUAAAAUGUUUUUUUUUAAAGAAAAACACCUAAAAAUGUACAUUGUCUGUCUGUAAAUAUUUUCACCAGUGGUGCUCUUUGGUUGUAGUAUUGUGUAGGAGGAAGCCUGUGGUAAUGUUGAACAUGUAGGUAUUUAACCAGCGGGGAAAAGCAGCCUUCUCAAACACACAACAUGACUUUCCACUAGUCGAAGCUGGAGGACGAACAUCUCAUCACCUGUCACAUCUCUCUUCAUCCUAACAAGUUGAAACGUUUUAAUAAAGAUGGAUUGUUUUGUAUCCUGAAGGAGGCUGUUGGUUUUCACUGGGAUCCUGAGGAGGGUGAAGGUCAGUGAACAUGUCUUACUGAGGUGGUGGGGAACACUGGGUCUGUAGUCUGUGUUGAGGUGUGGGGAACACUGGGUCUGUAGUCUGUGUUGAGGUGUGGGGAACACUGGGUCUGUAGUCUGUGUUGAGGUGUGGGGAACACUGGGUCUGUAGUCUGUGUUGAGGUGUGGGGAACACUGGGUCUGUAGUCUGUGUUGAGGUGUGGGGAACACUGGGUCUGUAGUCUGU
rnacentral:lncRNA from 8 species